AUUGAACGCUGGCGGUAUGCUUAACACAUGCAAGUCGAACGGUAACAGGCCUUCGGGCGCUGACGAGUGGCGGACGGGUGAGUAACGCGUAGGAAUCUGCCUCAUAGUGGGGGACAACGUGUGGAAACGCACGCUAAUACCGCAUACGCCCUACGGGGGAAAGCGGGGGACCUUCGGGCCUCGCGCUGUGAGAUGAGCCUGCGUUAGAUUAGCUAGUUGGUAGGGUAAAGGCCUACCAAGGCGACGAUCUAUAGCUGGUCUGAGAGGACGAUCAGCCACACUGGGACUGAGACACGGCCCAGACUCCUACGGGAGGCAGCAGUGGGGAAUAUUGGACAAUGGGCGCAAGCCUGAUCCAGCAAUACCGCGUGUGUGAAGAAGGCCCUAGGGUUGUAAAGCACUUUCAAUAGGGAGGAAAACCUGUCGGUCAAUACCCGGCAGCUUGACAUUACCUAUACAAGAAGCACCGGCUAACUCCGUGCCAGCCGCCGCCGUAAUAC
rnacentral:rRNA from 1 species